GUUGAGAGGAGCGCACCGGAGAAAGAACACACGAGCUGCGGGACAGUGAGAGGAACACACUGGUAGAAGAGCACACAGGCAGCUGGAUGUCGAGAGGAGCGGAAGAGCACAGCGACAGGCACUGGUGUCGACCAGCGGAACGACGUGGAGUUUGGCCUGGGAGGUCAGAGAAGAAUUUGGCUGCUGGGCAGCCCCACUAUAGGGGAAAACCACCUUCCCACUCCAUUCCCCUUCUGAUCUCCCCAUCCACCUCGCUGAGAGCUACCACAACUCAAUAAAAAACCUAGCACUCGAUCUCCAAGCCCACAUGUGAUCCAAUUUUUCCCGUGCACUAAAGCAAGAACCUGGGAUACAGAAAGCCGUCUGUCCUUGUGAUAAGGCAGAGGGUCUAAUUGAGCUGAUUAACACAAGCCACCUGCGGACAGCUAAGCUGAAAAAGCAUCCUGUAACACACGCCCACUGGGGCCUCAGGAGGUGUAAACAUUCACCCCGAGAGGCUGCAUGGGUCCGCGCCCAUGGUCCCCAUGACUUGCCUGUUUGCCUGCUCUGGCUAAGGGUCUUGACCAGUGGGGCACUGAAGAAGCGAGCCACACCUCCAUCGUACGCCCUGCGAGGAGGGGUCUCACUCAGUGACCCAGGCUGAAUGCAGUGGAACAAUCAUGGCUUACUGUAGCCUUGACCUUGAGGGCUUAAGCAAUCCUGCCACCUCAGCCUGCCUAGUACUGGGACUACAGAAAUUGCCACAGUCACCUCAACCUUCAGCAACCACCAACUUGAUCAAUCAGCAGCCAAUAACGUGAAGUCAUGACCAUUCACCAGCAAAAAGUUUAUGAUUCACCAAAAUAUUAGAUGAUCAUUAACAUUUUUAGCAAUAAUGUAUUUGUCAUUAAGGUGUUAGUGCAUUGGAAAAUCAUUUAAAGAAUGUAUCAGCUAAUUGAAGGCUUAUGUACAUUCUUCUAACUGCUGGAACUAAUAAGAUAUGAAUGAUGAAGCUUAUAUUCUUCUAGGAAUGAUAUAUACUUCACACAAAUAUAAAUAAAAAGCCUAGAUAAUUACAAAUAAGUUAUAUGAAUGAAGUUGACAGUAACUGAAAGAAGUCCGUUUAAAUAUGGUUGUCGGAAAGCCUCUACAGAAGGUGCCAUCUAAACACAGAUCCAAGGGAUACCGGUAGACUAGCUGUACUAAGAACCAUGGAGAGAGCGUUCUAGAGUGUACAUGUUCAGAGGCCGAAUAGAAUGAAUGAGUUAGACACAUCUGGGAAACGAAAAAGAAGCCAAUGUGAAUGGAAAACAAGGACCGUUACUGUAGGCCAUGAAAACAUUUUCUCUUUCUCUCCCCCUCUCUCUGUUUUUUGUUUGUUUGUUUGUUUGUUUGUUUUGGUUUGGUUUGGUUUUUUUUUUUUUGAGACGGAGUCUCGCUGUGUUGCCCAGGCUGGAGUGCAGUGGCGCGAUCUCGGCUCACUGCAAGCUCCGCCUCCCGGGUUCAUGCCAGUCUCCUGCCUCAACCUCCCGAGUAGCUGGGACUACAGGCGCCGCCACCACGCCCGGAUAAUUUUUGUAUUUUUAGUAGAGACGGGGUUUCACCAUGUUGGCCAGGCUUGUGUGGAACCCUGACUUCAGGUGAUCCGUCCGCCUCGGCCUCCCAAAGUGCUGGGACUACAGGCGCCCGCCACCACGCCCGGCUAAUUUUUUUGUAUUUUUAGUAGAGACGGGGUUUCACCAUGUUAGCCAGGAUAGUCUCGAUCUCCUGACCUUGUGAUCCGCCCGCCUCGGCCUCCCAAAGUGCUGGGAUUACAGGCGUGAGCCAUUGUGCCAAGACUCUUUCUCUCUUUUUUUUUUUUUUUCCUUUCUUCCCUAAGCACAGUGGUAGCCAUUAGAGCAUCUGAGAAGGGAUGUGGGCAAGCCUGGUUUUAAUUCUAAAGUUCCCUUCGGUUAAUUUGUGACAAACUGGAUUGUGAAUGUGUUUCCAUGUAUCGUGGGAAGGAGAAUAUAGAGGUGGGAGUGAAUAGCAAAAAUACACAUAAGAAGACUCUUUAUGAAGUUUUUUGGAUUAUCUGUAAAUAUACACUAUCACAACACUGAAAAUUUAUGCUGAAACUUUCAUUCCAAUCUAUUUUAUUUUUAUUUUUAUUUUUUCUUUUUUUUCCACUUCAAAUGAAUGAGCCUAUUGUGAAUUCUUUUGAAAGGCUUUGUAUUUUUGUCUCUGUGAUACUUCGUGGCUUCAUAUUUGUUUACUUUUACUAUUUGGUUGUUUAGUUAUAUGUAUUUUGUUCCACUAAAAUGUCCCAUUCCGAACAGGUAUGCCUUCUGAACAAUUAAUGCAGUGCACCUAAUGUACAUCAAUCAAAUUGCUAACCGAUGAUGUUUCUCAAGGGUAUUUGUUCCUUGGUAGUUGUCAGAAAUAUAAAUGGUAUAUUUCAGUAUAUAUCACAGUAUACAUUUUCUCAUGUAAUCCCCACAAUAACUCAGCAAAGUGUGGCUUAUUAUCACUUCAACAGAAGAGUCAGAAAGUUUAAGCUACUGCAUCUGGGUAACUAUGCAAAGCCGUAGAGAAGAGUGGAAAAGACACACAAUUCAGAUUUGAAAUAUUUUUUUUCAGUUCUUUGCUGUUCACUUUAUUACAUCAACAUACAAAUAAUAAUAUAUAAAUGGAUUUGUCUUACAAUUGUAUUUUCAGGUUAUAUAUUUAGAACCUGCUCAUUAAUGUUUGUGUUCAUGUGAAAUAAAUUUUGAAACCAUAGAAUUGUCAUUCUAUUUGAUUAGUGAUAAAUUUCCAUCUCCCUGCCUUCCUCCUUCUCCCUCCUUCCCUCCCUCCCUUGUCCCUUCCCUCCCUCCCUCCCUCCCUCCCUCCCUCCCUUCCUUCCUUCCUUCCUUCCUUCCUCUUAUCACAGACCAAAUGGCACUUUUACUUGUAGAGAAAUUUUAAUAAGCAAGGGGAUAUUUUUUAAAUGAGAUUCUAGACUUUAUAUGGAUAAUCAAGUUUAGAAAUUCUUCUCAUAAUUAUUUUUCUUUUUUACUAUUAACAUUAAUAUUUUCAUACAAAUAUUCAGUGGGAAUUUUUUUUGUAUAAAGUUCCAUGAAUUUCAACACAUGUAGAGAUUCACGUGACCAGUAGCACAGUCAGGAUACAGCAGUUACGCCAUUCCAUAAACUCCCUCUUUGCUAUUCCUUUUCAGUGGCACACUUUCCACGCGUCCUUAAUUCUUACAAUCACAGACUGAUUCUCCCUCACUAUAGUUUUGCCUUUUCAGGAAUAUCAUAUAAAUGGAAACAUAUAGUAUGUGACUUCUUGAGAAUGGAUUUUUUUCAUUCAGCAUAUGUCUUUGAUAUCCACCCAAGUUGUAUGAAUAACUAUCCCAUUCCUUUUUACUGCUGUUAUAUUCUAUUAUAUGGAUGUACCAAAGUGUGUAUCUCCUUUUACCCACUAAUGGGCAUUUCAGUAGCUUCUAGUUGUUUGCAAAUAUAAAAAGAAAGUUUUAUAAGGAUUUGUGUACUGUUUUUUACAUGAACAAAAGUUUUUAUAUUUCUUGAGUGAAUACCAAAGAAUGAAGUUCCCACAUAUGUGUGUCUCUUUAUAAAAUACUGCCUAACAUUUUUUUUUUCCAGAGUGGCUGUACUAGUUUUUAGUCCACCAGAUUUGCAUGAGAGAUUGAGUUGCUCUGAAGCCUUGUCAACACUUGGUAUUUUCAGCAUUUUUCACUUAAACCACUCAGGCAGUUAUGUAGCAAUAUUCUUUUAUAGUUUCAACUUACAUUUCUGUAUUGGCUAAUUAUGUGCUAAUUUAUAUUUCUCUAUUGGCUUUAUUCACUUAAUAUCAUUUUCAUAGAUAUUUUUAAAUUUUUUAUAAAGUUCAGUUUAUCAUUACACAUUUUUCUUCUCAUAUCUAAACACUAUUUGCCUAACCUCAGCUCACAAAUAUAUUUUACUACCUUUUCUUGUAAGUGUUUUAUAGUUUGCGGUUUUAAAUUAAGGUCUUUGAUUCAUUUUGAGUUCAUUUUAUAUACAGCUUGUGUUUUUGUGUAGAAAUUCAUUUUUAUUUGGAUGUCCAAUUGCUCCAGCCUGACUUGUUGAAAUCGUCUUUGUACUUUUAUCAAAAAUUAAAUGGCCAUAUUUGAAUGUGUCUACAUUUGGAUUCUCCACACUUCCACUGAUGUAUGUGUUUAUCCUUUUGCCAAUACAGCACUGUCCUCAUGUAUAGUAAGUCUUAAAAUUAGCAACUGUCAUUCCUCCAAUUUCAUUUUAUUUUUCAAACUUCCUUUGGCUGUUUUUGUUUCUUCGACUUUCUUUAAGCAUUUAAAAACUGGCAUAUAUAAACCUACAAAAAAAAUCCUGCAUGAAGUUUUAUUAAAAUUAAGUUAAAUCUAUAGAUCCACUUGGAGAAAAUUGAUAUCUUUACUAAUCUGAAUCAUAAGUUCAUGAACUCAGUUUAUCUUUACAUGUAUUUAUGUUUUUCUGGAUCUUUUCCAUCAGUAUUUUAUAGUAUGCAUCAUACAGAUCUUGUAGAAACCUUUUUGACUUACCUAAUUAUUUCAUUUUUGUAGCUAUUGAAAAUUUGUUUUAUGAUAUGGGUAUUCAAUUACUUAUUGCUAGUUUAUAUAAAUGUAUAUUUUUUGUUGUAUAGGACUUGUGUACUGAAACAUUCCUAAUCCCACAUGUUUGUAUGUUGAGUGUUUUGUAGAUUUUUUGGGAUUUUCAAUGUAAAUAAUCCCAUCAUCUGUAAAUAGGGACAAAUUUCCAUUUUUAAUUUUAUUUUAGUUUUUUUGCCUUGUUGUAUUAUCUAGGACAUUCCAGUAUGAUGCUGAUUAGAAAUGUUGAGAAUGGAUACACAUGCCUUGUUUCUAAUCAUGAGUGGGAAGUUGCAUUGUCUUUCACCAUUCAGUAAAAUGUUAGCUGUAAUUGUUUUUGUGGUUGCUUUUUGUUUUGUUUUGUUUGGUAGAUAUCUUUUACUAGGUAGAAGAUGUCUUCUCUAUUCUUACCAUGAAGAGAGUUUUAUUAUUGAGGUACAAUGAAUAUUAUUUUUUCUGCAUCAGUUAAUAUGAUACAUUGAUUUUUUUUAGGCUGUUAAUGGUGUAUUGCAUUGAUUUAUCUUCAUAUAUGAAUCCAACCUUCCAUUGGCAGUAUAAACCUCACUUGGCCAUUACAUGUUUGUAUGUGUGUGUUUGCAUCUGUAUAUAUGUAUAUGCAUAUAUUUAUAUAUAUAUGUGUGUAUAAUAUACAACUUUGAUUUGUUAACAUUUUUCUCAUAACUUUUGCAUCUAUAUUCGUGAAAGAUAAUUGCUUCCAGUUUUCUCUUCCUGUUCUCUUUUUGCCUGGUUUUGAUGUCAGGAUAAGACUGGCUUCGAAAAAUGAUUUGGGAAGUGUUCACUUCCCUCUGUUGUCCAAAAGAAAUGUGUAAAUUUGGCAUUAUUUUGUCUUCUGAAACUCAUGUGAAAGUAUUUCUGGGCCUAAAGAUUAUUUUUAAAGAUUUUGAACUAAAAAUUAAGUUUAUUUAAGAGUUAUAGAAAUAUUCAGAUUAUCUCUUUUUGUUGGGUGAGUUUUGAAAUUUUUUGUUUUCUGAAAAAUUGCUUUAUUUUUAUUUUAUUUAUUUGUUUUAAUUUUUAAGUUAUACUUUAAGUUCUGGGGUACUUGUGCAGAAUGUGCAGUUUUGUCACAUAGGUAUACAUGUGCUAUGGUGGUUUGCUGCACCCAUCAACCUGUCACCUACAUUAGGUAUUUCUCCUAAUGCUAUCCCUCCCCUAGCCCCCCACCCACCGACAGGCCCCAGUGUGUGGUGUUCCCCUCCCUGUGUCCGUGUGUUCUCCUUGUUCAACUCCCACUAUGAGUGAGAACAUGUGGUGUUUGUUUUUCUGUUCUUGUGAUAGUUUGCUGAGAAUGAUGAUUUCCACCUUCAUCCAUGUCCCUACAAAGGACAUGAACUCAUCCUUAUUUAUGGCUGUAUAGUAUUCCAUGGUGUAUGUGUGCCACAUUUUCUUUAUCCAGUUUAUCAUUGAUGGGCAUUUGGGUUAGUUCCAAGUCUUUGCUAUUGUAAAUAGUACCGCAAUAAACAUGCAUGUGCAUGUGUCUUUAUAGUAGAAUGAUUUAUAAUCCUUUGGGUAUAUACCCAGUGAUGGGAUUGCUGGGUCAAAUGGCAUUUCUAGUUCUAGAUCCUUGAGGAAUCACCACACUGUCUUCCACAAUGGUUGAACUAAUUUACAUUCCCACCAACAGUGUAAAAGUAUUCCUAUUUCUCCAUAUCCUCUCCAGCAUCUGUUGUUUCCUGACUUUUUAAUGAUUGCCAAUCUAACUGAUGUGAAAUGCUAUCUCACUAGAGUUUUGAUUUGCAUUUCUCUAAUGACUAGUGAUGAAGAGCAUUUUUUUAUAUGUUUGUUGGCUGCAUAAAUGUCUUCUUUUGAGAAGUGUCUGUUCAUAUCCUUUGCCCACUUUUCGAUGGGGUCGUUUGUUUUUUUUUUCUUGUAAAUUUGUUUAAGUUCUUUGUGGAUUCUGGAUAUUAGCCCUUUGUCAGAUGGAUAGAUUGCAAAAAUUUUCUCCCAUUCUGUAGGUUGUCUGUUCACUCUGAUGAUAGUUUCUUUUGCUGUGUAGAAGCUUUAGUUUAAUUAGAUCCCAUUUCUCAAUCUUGGCUUUUGUUGCCAUUGCUUUUGGUGUUUUAGACAUGAAGUCUUUGCCCAUGCCUAUGUUCUGAAUGGUGUUGCCCAGGUUUUCUUCUAGGAUUUUUAUGGUUUUAGGUCUUAUGUUUAAGUCUUUAAUCCAUCUUAAGUUGCUUUUUAUGUAAGAUUUAAGGAAGGGGUCCAGUUUCAGUAUUCUGAAUAUGGCUAGCCAGUUUUCCCAACACCAUUUUUUAUAUAGGGAAUCUUUUCCCCAUUGCUUCCUUGUGUCAGGUUUGUCAAAUAUAAGUUGGUUGUAGAUGUGUGGUGUUAUUUCUGAGGGCUCUGUUCUGUUCCAGUGGUCUAUAUAUCUGUUUUGGUGCCAGUGUCAUGCUGUUUUGGUUACUGUAGCCUUGUAGUAUAGUUUGAAGUCAGGUAGUCUGAUGCCUCCAGCUUUGUUCUUUUUGCUUAGGAUUUUCUUGGCAAUGCAGACUCUUCUCUGGUUCCACAUGAACUUUAAAGUAGUUUUUUCCAAUUCUGUGAAGAAAGUCAUUGGUAGCUUGAUGGGGAUGGCAUUGAAUCUAUAAAUUACCUUGGGCAGUAUGGCCAUUUUCAUGAUAUUUAUUCUUCCUAUCCAUGAUCUUGGAAUGUGUUUCCAUUUGUUGGUGUCCUCUCUUAUUUACUUGAGCAGUGGUUUGUAGUUCUCCUUGUAGAGGUCCUUCGCAUCCCUUGUAAGUUGUUUUCCUAGGUAUUUUAUUCUCUUUGAAGCAAUUGUGAAUGGGAGUUCACUCAUGAUUUGGCUCUCUGGUUGUCUGUUAUUGGUGUAUAGGAAUGCUUGUGAUUUUUGCACAUUGAUUUUGUAUGCUGAGACUUUGCUGAAGUUGCUUAUCAGCUUAAGGAGAUUUUAGGCUGAGACGAUGGGGUUUUCUAAAUAUACAGUCAUGUCAUCUGCAAACAGAGAUAAUUUGAUUUCCUCUCUUCCUAUUUGAAUACCCUUUAUUGCUUACUCUUGCCUGAUUGCCCUGGCCAGAACUUCCAAUACUACGUUGAAUAGGAAUGGUGAGAGAGAGCAUCCUUGUCUUGUGCCAGUUUUCAAAGGGAAUGUUUCCAAUUUUUGCCCAUUCAGUAUGAUAUUGGCUGUGGGUUUGCCAUAAAUAGCUCUUAUGAUUUUGAGAUACAUUCUAUCGAUACCUAGUUUAUUGAGAGUUUUUAGCAUGAAGGGGUGUUGAAUUUUAUCAAAGGCCUUUUCUGCAUCUAUUGAGAUAAUCAUGUGUUUUUUGUCAUAGCUUCUGUUUAUCUGAUGGAUUACGUUUAUUGAUUUGCUUAUGUUGAACCAGGCUUGCAUCCCAGGGAGGAAGCCGACUUGAUCGUGGUGGAUAAACUUUUUGAUGUGCUGCUGGAAUCGGUUUGCCGGUAUUUUAUUGAGGAUUUUCUCAUCGAUGUUCAUCAGGGGUAUUAGCCUGCAAUUUUCCUUUUUUGUUGUGUCUCUGCCAGGUUUUGGUAUCAGGAUGAUGCUGGCCUCAUAAAAUGAGUUGGGGAGAAUUCUCUCUUUUUCCAUUGUUUGGAAUAGUUUCAGAAGGAAUGUUACCAGCUCUUCUUUGUACCUCUGGUAGAAUUUGGCUGUGAAUCCGUCUGAUCCUGGACUUGUUUUGGUUGGUAGGCUAAUAAUUACUGCCUCAAUUUCAGAACUUGUUAUUGGUCUAUUCAGGGAUUCGACUUCUUCCUGUUUUAGAUUUGGGAGGGUGUAUGUGUCCAGGAAUUUAUCCAUUUCUUCUGGGUUUUCUGGUUUAUUUGCAUAGAGGUAUUUAUGGUAUUCUCUGAUGGUAGUUUGUGUUUCUGUGGGAUCAGUGUUAAUAUCCUCUAUAUCAUUUUUUGUUGCAUCUAUUUGAUUAUUCUCUCUUUUCUUCUUUAUCAGUCUGGUUAACUGUCUAUUUUGUUGAUCUUUUCAAAAAACGAGCUCCUGGAUUCAUUGAUUUUUUUUAAGGGUUUUUGUGUCUUUAUCUCCUGCAAUUCUGCUCUGACGUUAGUUAUUUCUUGUCUUCUGCUAGCUUUUGAAUUUGUUUGCUGUUGCUUCUCUAGUUCUUUUAAUUUUGAUGUUAGGGUGUCAAUUUUAGAUCUUUCCUGCUUUCUCUUGUGGGCAUUUAGUGCUAUAAAUUUCCCCCUACGCACUGCUUUAAAUGUUUCCCAGAGAUUCUGGUACCUUGUGUCUUCAUUCUCAUUGGUUUCAAAGACCAUCUUCAUUUCUGCCUUCAUUUCGAUAUUUACCCAGUGGUCAUUCAGGAGCAGCUUGUUCAGUUUCCAUGUAGUUGUGCGGUUUUGAGUGAGUUUCUUAAUCUUGAGUUCUAAUUUGAUUGCACUGUGGUCUGAGUGACUGUUUGUUAUGAUUUCCAUUAUUUUGCAUUUGCUGAGGAGUGCUUUACUUCCAAUUAUGUGUUCAAUUUUAGAAUAAGUGCAAUGUGGUGCUGAGAAGAAUGUAUAUUCUGUUGAUUUGGGGUGGAGAGUUCUAUGGAUGUCUAUUAGUUCUGCUUGGUCCAGGGCUGAGUUCAAGUCUUGAAUAUCCUUGUUAAUUUUCUAUCUCAUUGAUCUGCCUAAUAUUGACAGUGGGGUGUUAGAGUCUCCCACUAUUAUUGUGUGGGAGUCUAAGUCUCUUUGGAGGUCUCUAAGAAGUUGCUUUAUGAAUCUAGGUGCUCCUGUAAUGGUAAAGGGAUCAAUGCAGCAAGAAGUGCUUUAUUUUUAAUAGUUUUUAAAAAUUCAUUUGGGUAGAAAUGUUCAUGGUAUGUACUUACUAGUCUUUAAAUAUCUGCAGUGUUCAGGUAGUGAUAUUCUCUCUUUUAUUUCUAAUAUUGUUAAUUAUUAUCUCAUUAUUUUGUCCAUCUUACUAGCAAUUUGCCCAUUUUUUGCUACCAUUAAGAAAUUUUGUUUCAUUGAUUUUUCUUUGUUUAUUUUAAAUUUUGUAAAUCUCUGCUCUCAUGUGUAUUGUUUUCUCCUGUGAUUUUUUUGGUUUAUUUUACUGAUGUUAUCCUACUCUCUUACUAUAAAGCUGAUAAUAUUACUUAAAAAAUGUAUUCUUCCCUGUUCUAAACUGUAUAUUUAGAUUGCUGUAUAUAUCCAAAUCUAUACUGCUUUAGCUAUAUCCCAUAAAACUUUAUGUAUUGUAUUUUCAUUUUUAUCAGAUCAAAAUAUUUAAUAAUAUACAUUGAAACUUCCUUAUUAUUCUAUGCAUUAUUUAGUAGUGUUGAUUAAUUUUUUAGAUAAAUGAUAUUCCUGUUAUUAUGACAUUGAUUUCCAGUUUAAUUUGAGUACAGUCAGAGAAGAUUUUUGGUAUGAUUUCAAUUAUUUUAAGUUUAUCAUAGUUUAUUCCAUUACAUACAAUAUUGUCUAUCUUGGAGAAUGUGUAUUUGAAAAGAAUCUGUAUUCUACUCUUGUUGAAUGCAGUGUAUCAUAAAUGUAAACUAAGUCCAAGUGGUUGACUUUUUUUAUCAAUCUUUUCUAUUCUUGAAUGUUGAUUUUUUUGUCUACUAGUUCCACUGAUUAAAAGCUCAGUGUUGAAGUCUCCAAAUAUAUUUGCAGACUUAUUUACUUCUUUUAAUUUUUGCUUUCUGUAUUUUAAGAUUCUUCUGUUCUAUUUACACAUAGGGUUUUUUGCCAUCUUGAAACAUUAACUCUUUUAUUAUUAUUCAAUUAUGUUCUUUAUCUCUUAUAAUUCACUUUCAGCAAUUCAUUUAGAAAAGAUCUGCUGGCAUACAAUUCUUACUUUUUUUAAACCUUAUUCCUUCAUUCAACUUCUUUAAUGAAGGAUAUUUUUGCUGAAUGUAGCAUUCUGGGUUAUAAGUUCUUUUCAUUUAGAUAUGUUAAAACAUUAAUUUUCAGCUGAUUGUAAUUUUUCCAGGUCUGUAUUUCCUUGGGGUAUUUUGUUUAGGGUUUUCUGAGUUUCUUGUAGGUUUAUGUGCUUUUUAUUUAUUUGUCAAAUUAGAUAUUUUCAGCUUACAGAUGUUAUACAUUUCUUUUCUUUUUUUUUUCUUUUCUUUUUUUUUUUGACAGAGUCUCACUCUGUUGCCCAGGCUGGAGUGCAGUGGCGUGAUCUCGGCUCACCACAACCUCCACCUCCCAGGUUCAAGCGAUUCUCUUGCCUCAGCCUCCCAAGUACCUGGGAGUACAGGUGCAUGCCACCACACCCGGUUAUUUUUUUAAUAUUUAUUUUUAUUAGUAUUAUUAUUAUUAUUUUGGAGAUGGAGUCUCGCUCUGUCGCCCAGGCUGGAGUGCAGUAGUGCAAUCUCAUCUUACUGCAAGGUCCGCCUCCCUGGUUCACGCCAUUCUCCUGCCUCAGCCUCCUGAGUAGCUGGGACUACAGAUGCCUGCCACAACGCCUGGCUAAUUUUUUGUAUUUCUAGUAGAGACGGGGUUUCACCUCGUUAGCCAGGAUGGUCUCGAUCUCCUGACCUCGUGAUCAGCCUGCCUCGGCCUCCCAAAGUGCUAGGAUUACAGAUGUGAGCCACCGCACCUGGCUAGAUGUUAUAUAUUUCUAUAUAUAUCACCUAAAGCAUAUACUUACACAUACAUAUUUGUAAUCAUAUAUCUGAAAGUUGGCAGAAUAACAGAGGUGAUGGGAUUUAAUUAUCAUUUUACAUUAAUUGUCUAUUCUUUUAAUGGAGAGUUAUAUUAUGAUGAAUGACAAAAUACUUUCUUAAUUAAUAAAAUAUUUGUUUCUUCCGUAGUGUGUAUAUAGUAUAUAUAUGAUGUUUUUAUAUUAGAAAAAUCCCUAAUUAUGUUUUUAUUAACAUGACUUCACAUUAUGACUUUACAUAAAUUCCUUUGAAAAUAAUUCUAAAUUACACAGUUUGAGUCAUUGUAGUUCUUUCAUUUUAUAAAUUAAAUUUGUUUUAGCAAAGCUGCUUUUACAGAAGUAGUAGCAAUUUUAGUUACUUUUAUGAAUGUCACUAAAUUUCUUACCAUGUGCAAUUGUAUGUUUUUUCAGCUAUCCAUAGGAAUUACAAAUAAAAUGCACACGAGUUUACAACGUUUUAUUAUAUUAUGUAUAUGGAUGGGUAAUAUCUACCUAUAUUCAUGAUAAUUGAUAACUUAUAACUCUAAUUAAAAUGUCAAGAAUUUCAAAGAUACAAAUAAGCAAAGUAAGUCAUCCACAACUUUAUUUCUGAGACCAUAUAUAGUCCUUUUGUUCAGAUUGUGUCUAUUUUAUGAGCUUGUCAUGAUUAAAAAAUGAAAUAAGGAAUUACAAACGUUAUUAAAUACAAGAAAUAUUUCUUCAUGCUCUGUACGUUUAAUAUUUCAUACUGUGAAAUCCUGUUCAGAACAGAGAUAAAGUAAGUCAUAUUAAAUUUGCUGUGAGCUUGACCCUCUCAAUCUCUGACAUUCUUCAUUUUACCAACAAAGAAAAGUGAAGGAGCAGAAAAUGUAGCAUAACAUUGAUCAUUUUAUCACUGUCAACUGCAAACAAAAUCAUUUACUUAGAAUAGAUUCUUCAAAAAUACUACUUAUUAUAGUUUUAAUCUAGCCUAUUAAUGUCUAAUUGCAACAAAAUAUUUCCUGAUAUUAGAGCUAUAGAUCAGGUGGGGAAAACAUGAAUUUUUAUGUUAAUUAGUUUUAAAUAUUAUGCUUGAAAUCUUUCCAAACAUAAUAAAAUUCAAUUAAUUUAAUGAAUAUUAUUGGUGUCCAGUUUUCAUUUGAAUGGUUACUUAUAAUUCUUACUUUAUCCAAUGAUAUAAAAUGACCUUACUAUUUUAUAGCUGAUAAGGCAUUUUUAAAAGUGGUGAAGGCUACUGUAGAAGAUAACAUUUCCGCAUCAAAUGUUCUUAUGGCUAAACACUCACUUCAAUUUCCAGUUUGAUUAAAACUCAUUAUAAUAAGGAACUCUAAUCAUUAAAACUUUAUUUUAAUGAUUGGAGUAAAAGCAUUAAAGAUAGUUGUAGGAACUUAAGCAUUUUAAAAAUAUGGGUAAUUAUGAAUAAAAUAUGGGUAA
rnacentral:lncRNA from 1 species